UACGUAGGGUGCAAGCGUUAUCCGGAAUUAUUGGGCGUAAAGAGCUCGUAGGCGGUCUGUCGCGUCUGCUGUGAAAACCCGAGGCUCAACCUCGGGCCUGCAGUGGGUACGGGCAGACUAGAGUGCGGUAGGGGAGACUGGAAUUCCUGGUGUAGCGGUGAAAUGCGCAGAUAUCAGGAGGAACACCAACAGCGAAGGCAGAUCUCUGGGACGUUACUGACG
rnacentral:rRNA from 1 species